GCGUGGAGACAGGUGGUGCAUGGCUGUCGUCAGCUCGUGUCGUGAGAUGUUGGGUUAAGUCCCGCAACGAGCGCAACCCUCACCUCUUGUUGCCAUCAGGUCAUGCUGGGCACUCUAGAGGAACUGCCCCGGUCAACGGGGAGGAAGGCGGGGAUGACGUCAAGUCAUCAUGCCCCUUACGUCCUGGGCUACACACGUGCUACAAUGGCCGGUACAAUGGGAUGCGACGCCGCGAGGUAGAGCUAAACCCAAAAAGCCGGUCUAAGUUCAGAUUGGAGUCUGCAACUCGACUCCAUGAAGGAGGAAUCGCUAGUAAUCGCGUAUCAGCACGACGCGGUGAAUACGUUCCCGGGCCUUGUACACACCGCCUGUCACACCACGAAAGCCAGCUGUACUCGAAGUCGCUGAG
rnacentral:rRNA from 1 species